GCCCCCAUAGCUACCCCACAAAGCAGGCAACUGAAAAUGCCAAGAUGGACCCUACUAUACCUGUGGC
rnacentral:tRNA from 1 species